rnacentral:tRNA from 1 species
AUAAAAAAAUAAAACUCAAUAAUCUGACAACUAUAAAUAUUAAUAAUCUAAUCAUUAA